UACGUAGGGUGCAGGCGUUAAUCGGAAUUACUGGGCGUAAAGCGUGCGCAGGCGGUUUGCUAAGACAGAUGUGAAAUCCCCGGGCUUAACCUGGGAACUGCGUUUGAAACUACAAGGCUAGAGUGUGGCAGAGGGGGGUGGAAUUCCACGUGUAGCAGUGAAAUGCGUAGAGAUGUGGAGGAACACCGAUGGCGAAGGCAGCCCCCUGGGUUAACACUGACGCUCAGGCACGAAAGCGUGGGGAGCAAACAGG
rnacentral:rRNA from 1 species